UCUUGACUCACCACAACCUCCGCCUCCCAGGAGAAUCACUUGAACCCGGAAAACAGGUUGCAUUGAGUUGAUAUAGCGCCACUCCAGCCUGUGUGACAGAGCAAGACUUUGUCUCAAAAAAAAAAAAAA